CUAUUCCAGACUCCAUUUAGUUUUGGCAUGAAUCAUAGGACACCACCCUACCCCGCUGGGGAUUAUUGUCUUCUAUGCAGAAGUGAACGGAAAGACUCUUCAUUCUUAGAGAGUGGAGUUAAGACUGCGAGCAAAUUGGCCCUUUCCAUGGCUCCCAAGGGCAACAGCGUGCUGCACCUGCCGCUGUGGGUAUGCCCAGACUGCCGGAGGACUGUGGAGAAGGAGGAGAGGCACAGCGGUCUUGACCAGCCGCAGAGCCAAGAUUUUCUUCUUCACUCAUCACUUGGGAGCUCCCAGCCUGAGGCCAGUGGUGCUGGGAGGCUGGCCCUAGGCACACAGACAAUGACCUCAUCAGGGCUAGGCACCACGCCCUCAGAUGCCUGCUCAUGUGAAGCCUGCAGUGAGCGCAGAGACAUCUCAGCAGAGACAGACCGGGAACCGCAGCAGCUUCAAAACUAUUGGUCAGAAGUACGCUACAUGGUCCGAUGCAUAUACCGCCAGGCGGGUACCCCACUGGCAGAAGACCAGGACCAGUCCCUGGUUCCCGACAAAGAAGGAGUGAAGGAGCUUGUGGAUAGGCUCUGUGAGCGGGAUCCCUAUCAGCUCUACCAGCGGUUGGAGCAGCAAGCCCGAGAAUAUGUGCUGGAAAUGAAGGUCCGCCUUCUCCGGCAGCUAUCUGCUGCAGCAAAAGCCAAGGCACCAUCUGGCCUGCAGGGCCCACCACAGGCACACCAUUUUGUCUCUCUACUCUUGGAGGAGUAUGGUGCCCUCUGCCAGGCUGCACGAUCCAUCAGUACAUUUCUUGGCACUCUGGAAAAUGAACAUUUGAAAAAGUUCCAGGUUACAUGGGAACUGCAUAACAAACACCUAUUUGAAAAUCUGGUCUUCUCAGAACCGCUUCUCCAGAGCAACUUGCCAGCACUGGUGUCUCAGAUCAGGCUAGGAACCACCACCCAUGACACUUGCAAUGAAGACACAUACAGCACCUUGCUGCAGAGGUACCAGCGUUCUGAGGAAGAAUUGCGCAAAGUUGCUGAGGAGUGGCUAGAGUGUCAGAAGAGAAUUGAUGCCUAUGUGGAUGAACAGAUGACAAUGAAAACCAAACAGCGCAUGUUAACAGAAGACUGGGAGAUUUUUAAGCAAAGGAGAUUAAUUGAAGAACAGUUAACUAAUAAGAAAGUAGUUACUGGUGAGAACAACUUCACGGAUACCAGGAGACACAUGUUGUCAUCAUCUCGGUUGAGCAUGCCAGACUGCCCUAACUGCAACUACAGGCGAAGAUGUGCUUGUGAUGACUGCAGCCUCUCACACAUCCUCACUUGUGGUAUCAUGGAUCCCCCCGUCACUGAUGACAUCCACAUUCACCAGCUACCACUCCAAGUGGAUUCUGCUCCCGACUAUCUCUCUGAGAUGCGCCCACCUAGUGUGUCAUCAGCAAGCUCAGGGUCAGGUUCCAGCUCUCCCAUCACAAUUCAGCAACAUCCCAGACUCAUCCUCACAGACAAUGGCUCUGCACCAACUUUUUGUAGUGAUGAUGAAGACGUCGCACCAUUGUCAGCUAAGUUUGCUGACAUUUAUCCGUUGACUAACUACGAUGAUACCAAUGUGGUGGCCAACAUGAAUGGAAUCCACAGCGAACUGAAUGGUGGUGGGGAAAACAUGGCCCUGAAAGAUGAGUCCCCUCAGGUAAGCAGCACCAGCCAUAGUUCUUCAGAAGCUGAUGAUGAAGAUGCUGAUGGUGAAAGUAGUGGUGAGCCCCCAGGAGCACCCAAAGAAGAUGAGGCUCUAGGAAAUGGUAGCCCAAGGGCAGAUGAGAGUAAAGUAGACACUCCACCUCCAUCCUACCCAGCACAGCAGGCGGAACAAACUCCGAACACUUGUGAAUGCCAUGUUUGUAAACAAGAAGCUUCUGGGCUACCAGCAUCAGCAAUGACUGCUGGAGCCCUGCCUCCUGGCCAUCAGUUCCUGAGCCCAGAGAAGCCAACACACCCGGCGCUGCACCUGUACCCCCACAUCCACGGACAUGUACCCUUGCACACUGUUCCACACCUGCCUCGACCACUCAUCCACCCCACUUUGUAUACAGCACCCCCGUUCACACACAGUAAGGCUUUACCGCCAGCACCUGUUCAGAGUCACACAAAUAAGCCUCAGGCAUUCAAUGCAUCUCUUCAAGACCAUAUUUACCCGAGCUGUUUUGGGAACACUCCAGAGUGGAAUAGUUCUAAAUUUAUAAGUCUUUGGGGAUCAGAAGUGAUGAAUGAUAAGAACUGGAAUCCUGGCACUUUCUUGCCAGAUACAAUUUCUGGGAGUGAUAUAUUAGGGCCAGUGCUCUCAGAAACAAGACCUGAAGCCCUUCCACCUCCACCCAGCAAUGAAGCUCCUGCAGUUUCAGAUAUCAAAGAGAAGAAAAAUGCUGCAAAAAAGAAGUGUUUAUACAAUUUCCAAGAUGCUUUUAUGGAAGCAAAUGAAGUUGCCAUGGCAAACACAGUCGCCAUGGCCACCUCCUCAGCUACAUCCUCUGUGUCAUGCACGGCCACCACAGUGCAAUCUAGCAGCAGUCAGUUCAAGGUGUCAUCCAGAAGGCCGCCUUCCAUAGGUGAUGUUUUUCAUGGCCUCAACAAAGAGGACCACAGACACCCAGCACCUGCUGCUCCAAGGAACAGCCCCACAGGCCUGGCCCCACUCCCAGCUUUGUCUCCUGCUGCACUUUCUCCAGCCUCCACACCUCACCUUCCAAAUCUUGCUGCCCCAUCAUUCCCCAAAACUGCAACCACAGCCCCUGGGUUCGUGGAUACACGAAAGAGCUUCUGUCCUACCCCUGUGGCACCCCCGCCCUCCACGACAGAUGGCUCCAUCAGUGCCCCUCCCAGUGUCUGCAGUGACCCUGACUGUGAAGGGCACCGCUGCGAGAAUGGUGUCUAUGACCCGCAGCAGGAUGAUGGGGAUGAGAGUGCAGAUGAGGACAGCUGCUCCGAGCACAGUUCGAGCACUUCAACUUCCACCAACCAGAAGGAGGGCAAGUACUGUGACUGCUGCUACUGUGAGUUCUUCGGACAUGGCGGGCCUCCAGCUGCACCAACAAGCAGAAAUUAUGCAGAAAUGAGGGAAAAACUUCGUUUACGGCUGACCAAGAGGAAGGAAGAACAACCCAAGAAAAUGGAGCAGAUAUCAGAACGGGAGGGUGUAGUUGACCAUCGAAGAGUGGAGGAUUUACUACAGUUUAUAAACAGCUCAGAGGCCAAGCCAGUUAGUAGUAGUCGUGCAGCCAAACGAGCAAGGCACAAGCAGAGGAAGCUGGAAGAGAAGGCACGCCUGGAAGCUGAGGCCAGGGCACGGGAGCAUCUGCAUCAGGAAGAGCAAAAGCAACGGGAGGAUGAGGAGGAAGAAGAGGAGGAAGAUGAGGAGCAGCGUUUCAAGGAGGAAUUUCAGCGGCUUCAGGAGCUUCAGAAGUUAAGAGCUGCAAAAAAGAAGAAAAAGGAGCGGCCAAGUAAAGACUGUUCCAAGUUGGAAAUGCUUGCUAGAAAUUUCCAGGCAGCAGCAGAGUCUAUCUCUAACUCUGAAAACAUCCACAAUGGCUCAGUAGAACAAAUUGAAGAACCAGAAACCUCAUCUCACUCCCCUUCCAGACAUAUGAACCACUCAGAGCCUAGGCCAGGGCCUGGAGCCAAUGGGGAUGCCACAGACCCCAUGGACCCCAGAGACUCUAAGCUUCUGCUACCCAAGGAAGUCAAUGGGAAGCAGCACGAGCCUCUUGCGUUUCUCUUGGACAUGAUGCAUCAUCACAAGGAGGGAAACAGCAAACAAAAGUUAAAACAGACCAGCAAGACUAGCAAUGAGCCAGCCAGGAAGCCCAUGGAUCCUCCCAAAACCACAGAGGUACAGCCCAAGACCCGGGCCCAGCCUGAGUUAAAGCCUAAAAUAGUUGACCUUGCUCUCCUCACAGAGCAGAAGAGAGAGGAGAGGAAGGCCAACAGCAACAACAACAACAAAAAGCAGCUGAGCCACAUCAAAGAGGAGAAGCUGAACACUGUCACUCCUGAGCCACCCUCCCCUAGUCAUCUCCUGCAGAAUGGCAGGCUGAUUCUGGCAAGUUCUCCUCAGCCCAAGGGCAAGAAUAAGAAAAAUAAAAAGAAGAAAGGAGACAGAACCAGCAGUUCAAUUGAUGAUGUUUUCCUGCCUAAAGACAUCGACCUGGACAGUGUGGAUAUGGAUGAGACUGAGCGGGAGGUGGAGUAUUUCAAAAGGUUCUGCUUGGACUCUGCUAGACAGAACCGACAAAGACUGUCCAUCAACUGGUCCAACUUUAGCUUGAAGAAAGCCACCUUUGCUGCCCACUGAAUGAGGACUGCUUGGAGAGGGAUAUAUGAGAGGCAGCUGGGCUGCGCCACUCAAGAGCCAAGCCUUUCAGUGGCUCCCCAGAGCUUCGGUACCCACCCAUGGUGAGAAAGCAGCACAUCCCUGUGUUCCUGGGAUAGUUCAACAAAGAAAAAGCAUGCAGGGCUGUGACCUUGCAUGAACAGUGUUCUUGAAAGGACAAAGAUUCUGGUUCUAUCCCCAGGGAUACUGGCAUUGUCUCCUGGUUGAAGAAGUGGCUAGAGAACUAGCAUUGGGCUUGCCUCCCAGGGGAGACCAAACACUGCCUCUGGCCCUCCAUUUCUUCCAUUGGAGCCAAACCACCUACCAAGAAGAACCCAGAGUUUCCGGUUAUAGCAUCAGCAGGAACUGUUGACACUAUAAUGGUGAUGGGAAAACCUGGGUGCCCCAACUGCAAGUACCAUGUUGGGGUCCAGAGACACUCAGAACUCAGCCCUCAGCUCUUGAGCACUUAAAGAUCCACAGUGGUAUGCUGCAGGCCAGUUCCUCACACUUCCUAGCUAUAUGCCAUUCACCGCCAGGAAUGAACUUUCUAUUUCCCUGGAAACUUCAAGUUUCUUUGGCUCUGUCAUCAAGGGUUUAUAACUUGAGUUUGAGGAACAAAAGGUAGAAGAUAGAAGCCUCUGGACCCGGUUGAUGGAGAGGGGAGAGUAGGUAGUGAGGGAAUCCUGAAGACAACUCUGGGUUUCUGCAGAGGCUGCUAGGAUGGCUGCAACUAAGCAGAGUGGUCAUUCCACUUCUAGAUGGGGAACCAAAGCCCAAAGUGAGCAUUGGCCGAGGGAGGCUGAAGACUUUCUGCCAGAGCCUAUGGGAAGGCUCCAUGGGAGCUUCAUGUUUCACUGUGUCCUUUUCUCAAUAUAAAUCUGAAGUAAGGUAACAGCUGGAAAGAAACUUUAACUGGGAAUGUUUUCAUUGAACUUUAUAUACUGUUAGCUGCUUUUCUAUUGUCAUAAGACACCAUGACCAAGAUAAUUAUCAAAAAGUGUUUAACUCAGGGUUCUUAGUUUAAGAGGGUGAGAGCCUUUGACUGUGAUGGCAGGGAAUAUGGUAGGAGGCAGCUAAAGGAAUGGUUCUAGUCUUUGAAACCUCAGAGCCCUCCUCCAUGACACACCUAUCAAACAAGGCUAUACCUCCUAAUCCUCCUGGAACAGUUCCACCAGAGUAUUUAAACAUGAACCUAUUGGGAACCAUUCUCAUUCAAAUCAACACAUAUACCCAUGCCACUAAAGAGAAUCAAACACCAAAAUAUAUUAAUGAAGUGAAAAGGCAUGGAUCAUUUCCUUUCCCCAUUAAGUCCAUCUUAACUUUUCUGUAUCUGCUGAGUACGUGUGUAAGGCUUGAACUUAGAUGGCAGGUGUCAGUGUCUGCACCUCAUGACUUGAAGCAAUGCAUUCUGAAUGCAUCUCUGAGUAACAGUGUCAUUGCUAACUCUUUUGGAGUAAGUAAUUUGGGAUGAUACCUGCUCUCUAAGACAAGGAUUUUCUAUGGUGAGCAUGUGACAGGCCUCAAAUUGAAGUAGCAACAAGCUCUUCAGUGGGCCUCCUCAUUCCAAAAAACAUGUCAGCAAGUUUGUUUUCUAAAGGGCUUUUUGUUUCAAGACAGGGUUUCUCUGUGUGUAUCCCUGACUGUCCUGGAACUCACUCUGUAUACCAAGCCUUGAAGUCACAGAGAUCCUCCUGCCUCUGCUUCCAAGUGUGUGUGCUACCACCACCCACCUCAGUUUUUAUAAACUCACUCAAAUGGGAGCAGGUGUGUAUAAAGACAGGACACACAAUGAAAUUAAUAUCCACCACACUAUCACAGCCUACAAGGUUUUUAUUCUUUUCUUUUAAGAUUGAAUACAUUUCCCAUUCCUGGGCUCCUGGGUUAGCACGAUAAUAGGUUUUGGUAUCUGUGCCAGUGAGGAGGAGAAGCAAUCAUGCUCACAGUUUGUCUCUGCAUUUAAAAAUGCAAAGUCUUCUAAAAUGUCCUCAGAUGUCAACUGAAAAUGCUUUGGUUCCAUUGCAGUCCCAGACUAGCACUGAUUUGGAUCCACUUCCAUGGUGAAUGUGAUAUUAGCUCAGAGAUGAAUGGGAAAUUUGGCUACUUGCUGGCACAUGCUCAUAUAUACACUGAACAGGGGCUCUGGGGGGGACCAGCUUGCAGAAAUUCCUCCUGCCAUAGUGUUUUCAUAUGGGUAGCACAGGAGACCGGAAACCUGGUGAGCCCUUUGGAGGGCAUUGUGUUUGCCUGAAGGCAGUAUCCAGAUUUCAGCAGUAUAGAAAAACUAACAAGGAAUCCAUAGAUAGAUGACUAGAGGAAGAGAGGCUACUGUGGCUGAGGUUCUGAAGAUGAGACAAGCUAAGAGCCACCAAGGCCUUUGGCCGAAUCAUUUGCAUGUUACAUGAGUCCAGGCAGCAGGUCACCUGAAGACAGCAAGACUUUCCCAGCAUUUAAACAGGAUGAGAAGACACUGCAAUGUGAAGUCUCAUGCAAAAUGGUAUAUGAAAGACUGGUGACAAACAGUAAAGGUGUGGACAGACAGGGGGAAAAAGCAGCAGGCAAGUCCUUAGUCAGACCAUUGGGAGUAAGUAGAUGUUCCUUAGAGCAUCCAACCAGGAAGUUACUUGGACUUCACAGGCUGAUUGCAUGGAGUCCGUAUUUGGGUACACAGGCAACCAUCCCUUUACUCUGAGUAGUAAAUACAAUAUAAGUUGCUUUCUGGGACUGGCCAUUGAUUGUUUUGGUUUUGGUUCUUUGGAGACAAGGUUUUUCUGUCUAUCCCUGGCUGUUCUGAAACUCACUAUGUAGACCAGGCUGGCCUCAAACUCAGAGAACCACCUACUUCUGCCUCCAAAGUACUGGAUUAAAAAUGUUCACCACCACUCCUAGCUUUUAGAGACUGGUCAUUUGUGAAAGGCACCAUGAGUUAUUAUAUAAGAAAGCUCCAAAUGUGGCCGGAUUGUUAAAGUGUAGGAAUUUUGCUUUUGUUUUUCUCUUUUGCCCUGCACUCAGGGUACCAAUAUGUCCUCAGAAGGACAUCACCCAAUAGAGGGAUGACAACUAGGAGAAUAAGUUCUAAAACCAAAACACCUUAGAAGGAUCAAAUUAGCCUUACUACCUUCCCCAACCAAAACACUUCCCAUCUUAGUCAAGUAAAAUUCAGUGUUGGCACCCAGUCAGAUUUUCUCA